rnacentral:rRNA from 1 species
GACGAACGCUGGCGGCGUGCUUAACACAUGCAAGUCGAACGAGAAGAGAUGAGAAGCUUGCUUCUUAUCAAUUCGAGUGGCAAACGGGUGAGUAACGCGUAAGCAACCUGCCCUUCAGAUGGGGACAACAGCUGGAAACGGCUGCUAAUACCGAAUACGUUCUUUUUGUCGCAUGGCAGAGAGAAGAAAGGGAGGCUCUUCGGAGCUUUCGCUGAAGGAGGGGCUUGCGUCUGAUUAGCUAGUUGAGGGUAAGGCCACCAAGGCGACGAUCAGUAGCCGGUCUGAGAGGAUGAACGGCACAUUGGGACUGAGACACGGCCCAGACUCCUACGGAGGCAGCAGUGGGGAAUCUUCCGCAAUGGACGAAAGUCUGACGGAGCAACGCCGCGUGAACGAUGACGGCCUCGGUU